rnacentral:rRNA from 1 species
UAGGGAAUCUUCGGCAAUGGGGGCAACCCUGACCGAGCAACGCCGCGUGAGUGAAGAAGGUUUUCGGAUCGUAAAGCUCUGUUGUAAGAGAAGAACGCGUGUGAGAGUGGAAAGUUCACACAGUGACGGUAACUUACCAGAAAGGGACGGCUAACUACGUGUCAG